UACGUAGGGCGCAAGCGUUAUCCGGAAUUAUUGGGCGUAAAGAGCUCGUAGGCGGUCUGUUGCGUUGGCUGUGAAAACCCGGGGCUCAACUCCGGGCCUGCAGUCGAUACGGGCAGACUAGAGUUCGGUAGGGGAGACUGGAAUUCCUGGUGUAGCGGUGAAAUGCGCAGAUAUCAGGAGGAACACCGGUGGCGAAGGCGGGUCUCUGGGCCGAAACUGACGCUGAGGAGCGAAAGCGUGGGGAGCGAACAGG
rnacentral:rRNA from 1 species